rnacentral:rRNA from 1 species
AGAAAGAUUACAAGAAAAAGAAGGAACUCGGCAAAUCUCAACUCCGCCUGUUUACCAAAAACAUCGCCUCUUGCACCUUAUAAGAGGUCCUGUCUGCCCAGUGAACUAUUCAACGGCCGCGGUACCCUGACCGUGCAAAGGUAGCGUAAUCAUUUGUUUUCUAAUUAAAGACCUGUAUGAAUGACCCCACGAGAGUCGUACUGUCUCCUCUCUCCAAUCAGUGAAACUAAUCUCCUCGUCCAAAAGCGAGAAUUAUCCUAUUAGACGAAAAGACCCUGUGGAGCUAAAACUACCUAGCAAUUGUCCUAUAACCCCCUUCUCCUACUCUUUGAACAAAAUGACUUCUAGUUUUUGGUUGGGGCGACCCUGGAGAAAAACAAAUCCUCCAAGAUGAAUUAGAAUUUUCUUUAACUUUAAGUUACAACUUUAAGUACCAGGAUACUGACAUCAUUGACCCUUCCUGAUCAACGAACCUA